CAAAGAGCCAUGCUGUGAACCUGUGAACUGAGUAUGGGAAGGAACCUCUAGGACCUGAGAGUGGCCUCCAGCCCACAGCCAGGAAACACUAGGAAUCUAAUAAAGUCAUGAAUAUUUUGAGAAACUCUCCCAAAGACCUAGGAUUGGUUUAUAGAGGAAUCUCAGCCUGACAGCGCAGGGAGAAUGCC